rnacentral:tRNA from 1 species
CGGGACUGGCGGGGCUCGAACCCGCAGCUUCCGCCUGACAGGGCG